CUGCUGCCUCAUCAACUGUAUCGUCUGCUCCAUCUGUACCAUCCACUCCAUCAUCUAAAUUUAGAAGUGCUGAUAGUCAUCGACGCAUGCAGCCAACUCUUGAGCUCGCUGUCGAUCCUCGACAGCUUGCCUCCGCACCUCCAUCAGUCGAGCUUCGCAUGCAGAAUGGAUGUCCAUCCUAGAUGUGCGUGAAGAUGAAAGAGUAGUGAUCCCAUACCCUAGACCCCUAACAUAAUAGGGUCUCGUACUGAGCACCCGAUCACAGAUCUCAUC
rnacentral:lncRNA from 1 species